ACUAACUGGAGGACCGAACCGACUAAUGUUGAAAAAUUAGCGGAUGACUUGUGGCUGGGGGUGAAAGGCCAAUCAAACCGGGAGAUAGCUGGUUCUCCCCGAAAGCUAUUUAGGUAGCGCCUCGUGAAUUCAUCUCCGGGGGUAGAGCACUGUUUCGGCAAGGGGGUCAUCCCGACUUACCAACCCGAUGCAAACUGCGAAUACCGGAGAAUGUUAUCACGGGAGACACACGGCGGGUGCUAACGUCCGUCGUGAAGAGGGAAACAACCCAGACCGCCAGCUAAGGUCCCAAAGUCAUGGUUAAGUGGGAAACGAUGUGGGAAGGCCCAGACAGCCAGGAUGUUGGCUUAGAAGCAGCCAUCAUUUAAAGAAAGCGUAAUAGCUCACUGGUCGAGUCGGCCUGCGCGGAAGAUGUAACGGGGCUAAACCAUGCAC
rnacentral:rRNA from 1 species